AAGCUUAACCAUUUCAUUGUCGGCGAAUACUAUUCAAAACUGGACGAGUCGAUGACGAGAAUGGACAUCAAAAAUCAGCCCGAAAAAAAUCUGUAAGGUGGACGAGAAAGGCUGCGGACUUACCAUCCAUCACCAGCCAAGGGUACUGGCGAAAUCCGGAUCCAAGAGGGUUCACCUACUAGCCAACGAGCGUGCGCAAAAAGUUACAAUAAUUGCGUGCGGUAAUGCGAUGCCCCUAUGAUCCUGUUUAAGGGCCAACGUCUGAAGCCAGAGUGGGUGGAGAUUCUCCCGGAUCGAACGGCAACGGCACCUAACGGGAGUAUGACUACAGACACUUUUGUCGAGUGGCUUCGUCACUUUGCCGAGUACGAGCAUCCCGGUCCCGUACUAUCUUUGGCGGCGCCUCUUCUCAUCUCGACUAUACCAACGUCGAAGUUGCUGAGCAGUUGGAAAUAAGCGAUACUACCCACGAGUCGCAGCCGCUCGAUCCUAAGAUACUGAAACAGAUACCCUCGGAGAGACAUUAACAAAACUACCUUUGGGAAAUUUUUUUCCCGUUUGGGACAAAACCACGACCCAGAAGAACCUUAAGAGCGGCUCGGUUGCAACAGGAAUUUAUCCCUUCAAUAAAGACGCUAUACCGGAAGAAGCGUUCGCAUCUUCCGCACUAACAGAGAGAGGGGAGAUAAUGCAAUACCAGAACCUCGAGUCGGUGAUCGAGUGCCACACGACAUUCCGACGGAGGAAGAACCGGCAUCUCCCACAAUUGAGCGGCAAACUGCCUCUUCUUUCUCACAGCCGCUAUCGACGCCGAGACAAAAGCGGGAUAAACCAAAGAGAGCCGCGAGGAAAGCGAUCGAUAGCGGAGAUGUAGAACUAAACAGACAACUCUUCGCAUCUUCUUCCGAUAAAUCCAACUCAUCGAAAGCGAACUACGGCCCGAGAAAUCGAAGAAAAAACGAGAAAUCGAGAGCGGGUUGACCACAUCGACCAGCCUCAAACUUCGGAUGGACGAAGAGCCGAGGAGUCUCGGUACUGUUUCGUCCGCCCUGAAGAGCGAC
rnacentral:lncRNA from 1 species